rnacentral:lncRNA from 1 species
AAUGACCUUCACUAAGAAAGUUGGUUUAAUUAGUAUGAUUAUCAUGACCAAUACAUUAAAUUCACUUUAAGAACGAAUUUCACUCUAACUUCAUCCUGUACUUCAGCUCCCAACACAACAUUUGCUCCAUCAUCGGCCUCAACAUCUGAAUCUAGCUCACCUUCACAAACGUCGACUUCAGCAUCAGAAAACACCACAACACCAGUUUCUAUGUCAACAUCAACAUUAGAAUCUACAUCAGCAGCACCAUCAAACCUAACAUCAGUACUCAUCACAACCACAGCUCCAAUUUCAACCCCUACAUCGGGUCCCAGCACAUUACAAACUUUGACAUCAGAACUAACAACAAGUCCUCUAACAUCAUCAUCCAACACUAGUGAGUCUAAGAUAUAUUUUCCUAGCAUUUAGCAUCAAUAGUAACAACCUAAUCCCCUCAAUAAAGAGUCCAGUAACAGCUGACACAUGAAGAGCUGAAGGUGACUGACAAGAAGGUCUACAUAUAGAUUCUUGGACAUCCUUGAGAGCUAUCAUUAUAAUCAAUAUAUGUAUUGUGUGCUGUGAUUACAUUACUUAGAUUAAUAGAAAAAGUUGUCUGUCAGAAUUAAUGUUUUUCUCUCUCUGUGUCUAUGCUCUAUUCCACAAACCAGAACCAACAUCAACACAGCCUUCUCCAGUCACAGCAGCACCUGUGCCUGAUCAACAGAUUAAAUUGGAAUUCAGGCUCCAACAGACCUUCACACCAAACCUGGCGAACCCCGCCUCGACAGAAUUUAAGAGCUUAGCUACAAAAGUUUCAACAGUGUUGAACAGAAUCUACUCUGAUAAGUUUGGCCCCCG